AACGAACGCUGGCGGCAGGCCUCAAACAUGCAAGUCUAGGGGGUGUAGCAAUACAUCACCGGCGGACGGGUGCGUAACGCGUGGGAAUAUACCUAUCGAUUCGGAACAACUGAGGGAAACUUCAGCUAAUACCGAAUACGUCCUAACGGAGAAAGAUUUAUCGUCGAUAGAUUAGCCCGCGUUCGAUUAGCUAGUUGGUGGGGUAACGGCCCACCAAGGCGACGAUCGAUAGCUGUUCUGAGAGGAAGAUCAGCCACACUGGGACUGAGACACGGCCCAGACUCCUACGGGAGGCAGCAGUUGGGAAUCUUGGACAAUGGGGGGAAACCCUGAUCCAGCCAUGCCGCGUGAGUGAUGAAGGCCUUCGGGUUGUAAAACUCUUUCGCGCACAACGAUAAUGACGGUAGUGCGAGAAGAAGCUCCGGCUAACUUCGUGCCAGCAGCCGCGGUAAU
rnacentral:rRNA from 1 species